UACAGAGGGUGCAAGCGUUGUUCGGAAUUACUGGGCGUAAAGCGCGUGUAGGCUGCGGUGUAAGUCGGACGUGAAAGCCCUUGGCUUAACCAAGGAAGUGCGUCCGAUACUGCGUCGCUUGAGUGUCGGAGGGGGCGGCGGAAUUCCCGGUGUAGAGGUGAAAUUCGUAGAUAUCGGGAGGAACACCUGUGGCGAAGGCGGCCGCCUGGACGAUAACUGACGCUGAGACGCGAAAGCGUGGGUA
rnacentral:rRNA from 1 species